rnacentral:rRNA from 1 species
AGGGAAUCUUCCGCAAUGGACGCAAGUCUGACGGAGCAACGCCGCGUGAGUGACGAAGGUUUUCGGAUCGUAAAACUCUGUUGUGAGGGAAGAACAAGUACCAACUAACUACUGGUACCUUGACGGUACCUCACCAGAAAGCCACGGCUAACUACGUGCCAGCAGCCGCGGUAAUACGUAGGUGGCAAGCGUUGUCCGGAAUUAUUGGGCGUAAAGCGCGCGCAGGCGGUCCCUUAAGUCUGAUGUGAAAGCCCACGGCUCAACCGUGGAGGGUCAUUGGAAACUGGGGGACUUGAGUGCAGAAGAGGAAAGUGGAAUUCCACGUGUAGCGGUGAAAUGCGUAGAGAUGUGGAGGAACACCAGUGGCGAAGGCGACUUUCUGGUCUGUAACUGACGCUGAGGCGCGAAAGCGUGGGGAGCAAACAGGAUUAGAUACCCUGGUAGUCCACGCCGUAAACGAUGAGUGCUAAGUGUUAGGGGGUUUCCGCCCCUUAGUGCUGCAGCUAACGCAUAA